UACGAAGGGGGCUAGCGUUGUUCGGAAUUACUGGGCGUAAAGGGCUCGUAGGCGGCCAACUAAGUCCGACGUGAAAUCCCAAGGCUUAACCUUGGAACUGCGUCGGAUACUGGAUGGCUUGAAUUCGGGAGAGGGAUGCAGAAUUCCAGGUGUAGCGGUGAAAUGCGUAGAUAUCUGGAGGAAUACCGGUGGCGAAGGCGGCAUCCUGGACCGACAUUGACGCUGAGGAGCGAAAGCUAGGGGAGCAAACGGG
rnacentral:rRNA from 1 species